AGUGCGACUGAUUAUGAUUCUUUGCGCGCACGGGUCCGUCUGUGUGUCUCUGUGUGAGUGAGUGAGUGAGUGCGUGCGUGCGUGUGUUUUUUUAUGAGCAGCGAAUCCGUCCCGAGUUUCCAAGCUAAAGUUGCAUGGAGACACGCCGCGUAAGACGCGUAUAAUAAAGAGGAUGGUGAGCAACAUAAAGGAACGAGGAGAGCGAGAACAACUUCUGCUGAGAAAGCGAACCUUUAAGAAAUAUUUAGCCCAUAAGAGAGAGGGGCACUGAAGCAGUUCGUUUGAAAAAAAAUCACUGCAGCGAUGAAUCGGAGGCGAGUCAGAUGGAGUUGGAGAGGCAAAAUUAAUGUACAUUACAUGCACUCCACGUAACGCUCCUGAGCGAUGUCUUUUCAGGGCUUCCUGCACUGGGCAGGACAGAACUUGAGGCAUCCAUCGUGUCAAGUACGGAGGGUGAAAUGAACAGCUCGACUCACAGAACGAUCCCAGACGGUGUUGCUCGUGACGUCACCGGCGUCAAAAUCUGCUGAUGACUGGAGGUCUAUGCAAAAGUGAGAUGUGACGUGAACUGACUGUGCUCCUCAUGGAAGGAGAGGGAAGGCUGACAGGCAUGGAAGUUGAUGGGGGGAAAAGGAGGGGUUUACCAAUAAACAAGGAUAAAAAUCUGGGAAAACGUUACCUUGUAUCCUGCACACAAGAUCAACGUCAAACCAACGUCUGUUAGACUGCUUUACACCUGUAAAUGGAUAUUCAGCAAGUUGAUUACUUUGUAGGAACAACAUAACAUCGUCAGGUAUUUGCAAUAUCUGUCUGUAAACUACUUGGGUUUAAUAAAUGACCUGGACUUGCUUACUUUGUCACGUGCACAGACGUCUGAGACGCAUGAGCUGUGAGACGUAAGGAAAUAUGAAAAUGAUAUAGUACGUAUUUGAGCUUUAAAAAAUGUUUACUUGCACAUAAAACCAUGUAUAGAUACAUUUGUUGUAAUUAUUUACCUAAAUGAGUGAAACUGUAUAGACAAGAUGCACGUGAACGCUUGUGUUGAGUUGUGUUGCUUUAAUUCUCAAAGACGUGAAGGCAAACACAGACUGAUUUAAUCUUAUUUGUUCUAAUUAAAUUAUAGCCUAUAUGUAGCUUCAAAUGGAAUUGUUGUGACUGUGAUAAUAAGAACGUGUGCGUAACGCGAGCGUCUGCGUCUGUAGACUUGUGUGAAAAUUACAGGCGCGUUUUUUUUUUAGCUUGUGGUGCUUUAUAAUUGUUAGGGUUACAUAUUUGUGAGAUCUUAAUAGUUUGUUUAACAUGUUGUAUGAAGCUGCAGACGGAGAGUUGGAGCUGUCAGGCGUUCGCUGUCCACUGCACGUUCUGCUGCUGCUAACGUAUCACUCCCACGGUCCAAAUGAGCUUAGGACUCAAAUAAUGCUGUUUUUUUUUUUAUUAGUUCUUUCGCUAGAU